GACGAACGCUGGCGGCGUGCCUAAUACAUGCAAGUCGAGCGAACGGACGAGAAGCUUGCUUCUCUGAUGUUAGCGGCGGACGGGUGAGUAACACGUGGAUAACCUACCUAUAAGACUGGGAUAACUUCGGGAAACCGGAGCUAAUACCGGAUAAUAUUUUGAACCGCAUGGUUCAAAAGUGAAAGACGGUCUUGCUGUCACUUAUAGAUGGAUCCGCGCUGCAUUAGCUAGUUGGUAAGGUAACGGCUUACCAAGGCAACGAUGCGUAGCCGACCUGAGAGGGUGAUCGGCCACACUGGAACUGAGACACGGUCCAGACUCCUACGGGAGGCAGCAGUAGGGAAUCUUCCGCAAUGGGCGAAAGCCUGACGGAGCAACGCCGCGUGAGUGAUGAAGGUCUUCGGAUCGUAAAACUCUGUUAUUAGGGAAGAACAUAUGUGUAAGUAACUGUGCACAUCUUGACGGUACCUAAUCAGAAAGCCACGGCUAACUACGUGCCAGCAGCCGCGGUAAUACGUAGGUGGCAAGCGUCAUCCGGAAUUAUUGGGCGUAAAGCGCGCGUAGGCGGUUUUUUAAGUCUGAUGUGAAAGCCUACGGCUCAACCGUGGAGGGUCAUUGGAAACUGGAAAACUUGAGUGCAGAAGAGGAAAGUGGAAUUCCAUGUGUAGCGGUGAAAUGCGCAGAGAUAUGGAGGAACACCAGUGGCGAAGGCGACUUUCUGGUCUGUAACUGACGCUGAUGUGCGAAAGCGUGGGGAUCAAACAGGAUUAGAUACCCUGGUAGUCCACGCCGUAAACGAUGAGUGCUAAGUGUUAGGGGGUUUCCGCCCCUUAGUGCUGCAGCUAACGCAUUAAGCACUCCGCCUGGGGAGUACGACCGCAAGGUUGAAACUCAAAGGAAUUGACGGGGACCCGCACAAGCGGUGGAGCAUGUGGUUUAAUUCGAAGCAACGCGAAGAACCUUACCAAAUCUUGACAUCCUUUGACAACUCUAGAGAUAGAGCCUUCCCCUUCGGGGGACAAAGUGACAGGUGGUGCAUGGUUGUCGUCAGCUCGUGUCGUGAGAUGUUGGGUUAAGUCCCGCAACGAGCGCAACCCUUAAGCUUAGUUGCCAUCAUUAAGUUGGGCACUCUAAGUUGACUGCCGGUGACAAACCGGAGGAAGGUGGGGAUGACGUCAAAUCAUCAUGCCCCUUAUGAUUUGGGCUACACACGUGCUACAAUGGACAAUACAAAGGGCAGCGAAACCGCGAGGUCAAGCAAAUCCCAUAAAGUUGUUCUCAGUUCGGAUUGUAGUCUGCAACUCGACUACAUGAAGCUGGAAUCGCUAGUAAUCGUAGAUCAGCAUGCUACGGUGAAUACGUUCCCGGGUCU
rnacentral:rRNA from 1 species